AGGCAGCAGUGGGGAAUAUUGGGCAAUCCCCGAAAGACUGACCCAGCGACGCCGCGUGAGGGAUGAAGGCCUUCGGGUUGUAAACCUCUUUCAGCAGGGAAGAAGCGAAAGUGACGGUACCUGCAGAAGAAGCACCGGCUAACUAUGUGCCAGCAGCCGCGGUAAUACAUAGGGUGCAAGCGUUGUCCGGAAUUAUUGGGCGUAAAGAGCUCGUAGGUGGUUUGUUACGUCGGAUGUGAAAACCUGGGGCUCAACCCCGGGCCUGCAUUCGAUACGGGCAAAGUAGAGUGUGGUAGGGGAGACUGGAAUU
rnacentral:rRNA from 1 species